CACAUACAUACGGAGCUUCUGUCGUCCAUACGUCCAUACGCAGUCGUUCCAUCGUCCGGGGACGGUGGGAGGGGACGGGUGAUCAAUCGAUACGAGCCCGCCCUAUUCCACUCAAUCAUGCCCUCCCGAAUGCUAAUUCAUGCGAAGAGCCUAUUUUGUUUCUAUAUAUAGACUGCCACUUUUUUUUACUUUUGACUACGGCUCCCUUUAUCCCUUUGAAAACCCAUUCUUCUUUAUUUUUUUUUUUUUUUUUAUGUCUGUCUGUUCAUGCUGUGGAACCCUCCUUCAGCUUUCGUCGUCCCAUGGUGCGAGCUGUGUGUGACGGCGCGCCAGGUGGCCGGGGCAGGGCGUGGGCGUGUGGGCGUUUCGGGGGAUGUUUGCCUCGGGUCCAAUCAGUGGAUGCCCAGCUGGUUGUUCGGUUGCGAGGAAUGACGUCUGAUCAUCAGUGAUCAGUGAUCAGUAGUGAUCAGUGCUGAUGGCCCUGGGGGAAAUCGUGAUGAGGAUCGUGAUCGGUCAUGAUGAUCUGGGCUUGUCACGAUUGGCAGCUUGCCUGGGAUGUUGGUUAGUGCUGCUGCUGCUGCUGCUAUUGUUGUUGUUGUUCGCAUCGAGCUCGAUUUGACAGAUCAUGCAUGCAUGAGAGAUAGGGCACUUGGCUUUCGAUUUUUCUUUUGGACUUGGCCCAACUUACCAAUGAAGCGGACCCUAGUUAGUUAGAGCUAGCUGUAUGCUAUGAUUCUUUCUUGUAUAUUAUUAUUUUAUUUAUUUUACUUAAUUUUAACACAAGUCUAUCAUCCACAUAUGAUCAUGAUGAUAUCACUUCUCCCUCAAUCGGACCCCCCGAGAAAACUUUCCAGCCCUGCCGUCCUUUCUUCUCUGCGAAUGAAAAUCCUUCCAAACGUUCCGCAUCGGCAAACAAUAGUCUAGUAUCUUCGUCCGAAUUCUGAUCGAGUUUACGGGAGUGGGCGGCUUUCGUCGUCGUUGUUGCGAGUCAGUAGUUCGGUGGGGGUCGCCCGUAUGGAUACGAUACCCAGUACUCCGUACAAGAAGAACACAGAGAAUUACGGAGAAGUAUGAUUCGAUCUGUCACUCGUCGCAGGGUUGGUUGAUCAUGAUAUUCCCUAGCACCGACUCCACCACCCAAAGAAAAGAGCAUAGACCGAUAGACAACAAAUAAACUUCGGCCGAAUAAAUGCAGAAAUGCAAUGGAACGAUGUUCUAGCGAAUUUAGAACAGGAGGGGGCCAACCUCGGUACUAUUCUCCUCCGUAGUAAGUACCGUCGUCCAUCAUGGAGGAUAACUAUACCUCCAUUUUUUGGAGAUCCCUCGCUGUCUGUCUGUUUUGCCUGGAAUAUCGGGGAAUAAUACUUCCUUCCUCCCUGCCUAUGCUUUACAGUUUAAGGUCGGGGAUCUUGGGAGGAUCUGUGGGAUCGCUCUGGGGUGUGUCAACAUGUAUUAUUCUCAAAGCCUAAGAUCUUCUCCAUAUCACCUUCAUUUACUACUUCUUUUUUUUCCCCUUUUGAACAUAACCGCGCACCGAAUUUCCAUUGACUGUUCAAAGGAAAGAAAGGAAAGAAAGAGCCAAAAAAAAAAAAAAAAAAAAAAAAAAAAAGCUACUUUACGCACCCAUGGAUCGAUCUCCUUUCGCAGAAUCGCAGGUGGCGGGAAACUAACGACUCCCAAUCAACUGGCCCCUCCUGGCUGCCGAUUCCACCGAGAUGAAACUCAAUCUGAUCUUUUUUUAAAAAAAUAAAAAAUAAAAAAUAAAAAACAAACAAUAAAUCCUGUCGACUUUUCUUCGUUCGGCUGACAUUUUUGACUUCGAGGCUGCCAUGCUCGGUUUCAUUUGCCGAUGGUAGCCAUGAGUUAGUAACAAGUACCUACGAAAGUGCCGAAUUGGGUAGUUAUUUGUUAUGACUUCUUAUUAUUGUUAUUUCUCCCCCC
rnacentral:sRNA from 1 species